GACGAACGCUGGCGGCGUGCUUAACACAUGCAAGUCGAACGGAAAGGCCCUGCUUUUGUGGGGUGCUCGAGUGGCGAACGGGUGAGUAACACGUGAGUAACCUGCCCUUGACUUUGGGAUAACUUCAGGAAACUGGGGCUAAUACCGGAUAGGAGCUCCUGCUGCAUGGUGGGGGUUGGAAAGUUUCGGCGGUUGGGGAUGGACUCGCGGCUUAUCAGCUUGUUUGUGGGGUAGUGGCUUACCAAGGCUUUGACGGGUAGCCGGCCUGAGAGGGUGACCGGCCACAUUGGGACUGAGAGACGGCCCAGACUCCUACGGGAGGCAGCAGUGGGGAAUAUUGCACAAUGGGCGGAAGCCUGAUGCAGCAACGCCGCGUGCGGGAUGACGGCCUUCGGGUUGUAAACCGCUUUCGCCUGUGACGAAGCGUGAGUGACGGUAAUGGGUAAAGAAGCACCGGCUAACUACGUG
rnacentral:rRNA from 1 species